rnacentral:rRNA from 1 species
ACAUCAAUAAGCGGAGGAAAAGAAACCAACAGGGAUUGCCCCAGUAACGGCGAGUGAAGCGGCAACAGCUCAAAUUUGAAAUCUGGCCCCUCGGGGUCCGAGUUGUAAUUUGUAGAGGAUGCUUUUGGUGAGGUGCCGCCCGAGUUCCCUGGAACGGGACGCCACAGAGGGUGAGAGCCCCGUCUGGCUGGCCGCCGAGCCUCUGUAAAGCUCCUUCGACGAGUCGAGUAGUUUGGGAAUGCUGCUCAAAAUGGGAGGUAUAUGUCUUCUAAAGCUAAAUAUUGGCCAGAGACCGAUAGCGCACAAGUAGAGUGAUCGAAAGAUGAAAAGCACCUUGAAAAGAGGGUUAAAUAGUACGUGAAAUUGUUGAAAGGGAAGCGCUUGUGACCAGACUUGGGCGCGGCGGAUCAUCCGGGGUUCUCUCCGGUGCACUUCGCCGCGUCUGGGCCAGCAUCAGUUCGUCGCGGGGGAAAAAGGCUUCGGGAACGUGGCUCCUCCGGGAGUGUUAUAGCCCGUUGCAUAAUACCCUGCGGUGGACUGAGGACCGCGCAUCUGCAAGGAUGCUGGCGUAAUGGUCACCAGCGACCCGUCUUGAAACACGGACCAAGGAGUCGUCUUCGUAUGCGAGUGUUCGGGUGUCAAACCCCUACGCGUAAUGAAAGUGAACGCAGGUGAGAGCUUCGGCGCAUCAUCGACCGAUCCUGAUGUUCUCGGAUGGAUUUGAGUAAGAGCAUACGGGGCCGGACCCGAAAGAAGGUGAACUAUGCCUGUAUAGGGUGAAGCCAGAGGAAACUCUGGUGGAGGCUCGCAGCGGUUCUGACGUGCAAAUCGAUCGUCAAAUAUGGGCAUGGGGGCGAAAGACUAAUCGAACCUUCUAGUAGCUGGUUUCC